AGCUGGAGCAGUCCGGCUCCUAGAACUCUUAAAACUGACCAGCCAGGGAUCCCUUUCAGGAUACUGAAAGUUUCUACCUUGAAGAGAAACUGUGGAAGUAGGCAGUAGAGAAGGGGUGGAGAGAUGGAGUUCACUAUGUUUCCCAGGCCGGUCUUGAACUCUCGGGCUCAAUCAAAGGAGUAGAAACAAUGCAAAUGGCAACAUGAGGGCUGAACUCUGGCACAGAGCUUUAGAAGAAAGAAGAAACUAAAUUCCUAUGAUAAAGGCGACACACAGCUCUAGGUAAUGAAAGAAGUAAGCUUGACCUCCUGAUGCCAGUAUACUUCCUACUGUACUAAGAUGAAGACCUAUGAAUCCAGCCUGCAGAUCAAGAGGGCUGAAUAGGCCAGGUGUGGUGGCUCACACUUGUAAUCCCAGCACUUUGGGAGGCCGAGGCAGGUGGAUCAUCUGAGGUCAGGAGUUUGAGACCAGCCUAGACAACAUGGUGAAACAUCGUCUCUACUAAAAAUUCAAAAAUCAGCUGGGAGUGGUGGUGGGUGCCGGUAAUCCCAGCUACUCGGGAGGUUGAGGCAGGAGAAUCGCUUGAACCUGGGACGCGGAAGUUGCAGUGAGCCGAGAUGGUGCCUAUGCACUCCAGC
rnacentral:lncRNA from 1 species